rnacentral:rRNA from 1 species
GUGUCCUACGGGGGGCAGCAGUGGGGAAUAUUGCACAAUGGGGGAAACCCUGAUGCAGCGACGCCGCGUGAAGGAAGAAGUAUCUCGGUAUGUAAACUUCUAUCAGCAGGGAAGAAAAUGACGGUACCUGACUAAGAAGCCCCGGCUAACUACGUGCCAGCAGCCGCGGUAAUACGUAGGGGGCAAGCGUUAUCCGGAUUUACUGGGUGUAAAGGGAGCGUAGACGGUGCAGCAAGUCUGAUGUGAAAGGUCGGGGCCCAACCCCGGGACUGCAUUGGAAACUGUUGAACU